CGCCUGUUUAUCAAAAACAUGUCUUUUUGUUAAUUAUUUAAAGUCUGGCCUGCUCCAUGAGUAUUAAAUAGCCGCAGUAUUUUGACUGUGCAAAGGUAGCAUAAUCAUUAGUUUUUUAAUUGAAAGCUGGAAUGAAGGGUCGGAUGAGGAAAUAACUGUCUCAGAUUAAUUUAAAUUGAAUUUUAUUAUUAAGUCAAAAAGCUUAAAUUUUAUAGAAAGACGAGAAGACCCUAUAGAGUUUAAUAAGAUAAUAUAUAAAGGGAUUUAGGUUUUAAUCUUUUAGUAUAAAUUCUUAUUUGGUUGGGGUGACAAAGAAUUGAAUGAAACUUCUUUAUAUUUCUACAUUGAUUAAUGAAUAUUUGAUCCUUUAUUUGAGAUUAAAAGAAUAAAUUACCUUAGGGAUAACAGCGUUAUUCUUUCAGAGAGUUCUAAUCGAUGAAAGAGAUUGCGACCUCGAUGUUGGAUUAAAGUUAAUUUCUGGUGCAGAAGCUGGAAUAUUAAGUCUGUUCGACUUUUGAAACUUUACGUGAUCUGAGUUUAGACCCG
rnacentral:rRNA from 1 species